rnacentral:piRNA from 1 species
GUAAGUGUCCCAGAUAGUGAAGAAUAAACG